rnacentral:RNase_P_RNA from 3 species
GAAGCACGCCAGACCGCCGCUGGUGCAAGUCUCGAAAGAGCGCACUGGAGGAACGUCCGGACUGCAUAGGACAGCGCAGGAGUUAACGACUCUCCACCGUGAGGUGAGGAUCAGAGCAACAGAGACGAGCCGAUUAAGUUCGGGUGAAACGGGCAAUCUCUGCGCGCAGCAACACCAAGUAGGCCAGUAUUGAGGUGGUUCCGCUGAGCUGGCGGGUAGGUGGCAUCGAGCCGUCUGGUGACAGGCGGCCCAGAGUAAUGGCGGUCACGUCGAGGGCUUCGCAAGAGGCCCUCGAUGCACAGAAUCCGGCUUAUCGGCGGGCUUCACAC